CUGACGAGCGGCGGACGGGUGAGUAAUACUUAGGAAUCUACCUAGUAGUGGGGGAUAGCUCGGGGAAACUCGAAUUAAUACCGCAUACGACCUACGGGAGAAAGGGGGCAACUUGUUGCUCUCGCUAUUAGAUGAGCCUAAGUCGGAUUAGCUAGAUGGUGGGGUAAAGGCCUACCAUGGCGACGAUCUGUAGCUGGUCUGAGAGGAUGAUCAGCCACACCGGGACUGAGACACGGCCCGGACUCCUACGGGAGGCAGCAGUGGGGAAUAUUGGACAAUGGGGGCAACCCUGAUCCAGCCAUGCCGCGUGUGUGAAGAAGGCCUUUUGGUUGUAAAGCACUUUAAGCAGUGAAGAAGACUCCAUGGUUAAUACCCAUGGACGAUGACAUUAGCUGCAGAAUAAGCACCGGCUAACUCUGUGCCAGCAGCCGCGGUAAUACA
rnacentral:rRNA from 1 species